rnacentral:rRNA from 1 species
UACGAAGGGGGCUAGCGUUGCUCGGAAUCACUGGGCGUAAAGGGUGCGUAGGCGGGUCUUUAAGUCAGGGGUGAAAUCCUGGAGCUCAACUCCAGAACUGCCCUUGAUACUGAGGAUCUUGAGUUCGGGAGAGGUGAGUGGAACUGCGAGUGUAGAGGUGAAAUUCGUAGAUAUUCGCAAGAACACCAGUGGCGAAGGCGGCUCACUGGCCCGAUACUGACGCUGAGGCACGAAAGCGUGGGGAGCAAACGGG